CUCCUUAAUUCUAGACCGGGUCUCCCUUGAUGAACUUCCAUCCGUUGCUUCUUGCCCCGCCUUCAGGUGAUAUGGAGAAUAAAUUGAGCCCCUCUUUCAUGUAACAGCCUUUCAGAUAUUGGAAGAAGACUAUCAUAUCCAAACCUUCUCUUCAUUAGGCUAUACAUAUCUAGGUCACUUAGCCACUACAUUGUACAAUGUAGUAGUAGACUACAAUUUUUAUUGUCCAUAUUUGUUUUUUGUUUUUUAAAUAGCCAUUUUGUCCAAGUGAAAAAUCCUGGAAGCUCUGCCUUCGAGCUGAACUCACCUGAGAAGCAUCUUGCAUCAGGCUUCUUCAAGUAUCUUGUAUUUGUAUACAAACCUAGUAGUGAAAUGGGCGUUUUCUGUUCAUGUGGCUCCAAGUCCUGGACAGAGCUUUCAUUCCGGCCCCAAAAACUCUUUAAAGUUCCCAUUACACUGCCUGGACAAGCAAGGUCCAGGAAAAGAAGUGAGCUUUUUGAGAUUAACCAUAUUCUUCUAGCAGCUAUUUUAUGAAAGUGUUCAUGAAAUCUUUCAAGUAUUUUUGCUGGUCCCUUUUGAUGUUGCUAUAUCCCAUCCACACACCCCAUUAAAAAAAACUGAUAAUGUUUAAAAGACAAUAUUUACUCUAUGUUUGGAAGAUAAAAGUAUUGAUCAAAUUUACUAAUGUAAGACUUAUUGAUGAACAAUAUUUUAUCACUGUAACAAUGAAAAAAGUGCAUUCAGAAUUAAUAUAUGCACUCAGUGUGUGAUUAUGAUACCUAUUUGACUUUAUAGCCUGGCACUUACAAUUAUGGUCUUUGUGAAUUAUGGUGGAGGAAAAUAUUGGUUCUUCAAGCAUCAGAGCUGGAAUGGCUUAACAAUAGCAGACCUCGUUUUUCCAUGGUUUGUAUUUAUUAUGGGCACCUCUGUUUCAUUGUCUCUCAGUGCUAUGUUGAGACGGGGUUGUUCCAAAUGGCAGUUGCUGGGCAAAAUCUUAUGGAGAAGUCUCCUCCUGUUUUUAAUAGGACUCAUAGUUAUAAACCCAAAUUAUUGCCUUGGACCACGUAAGUGCUAAGAGAUUUA